CUACGGGGUGCACCAGUGGGGAAUAUUGCACAAUGGAGGAAACUCUGAUGCAGCAACGCCGCGUGGAGGAUGACACUUUUCGGAGCGUAAACUCCUUUUAUAUAGGAAGAAGAUGACGGUACUAUAUGAAUAAGCGCCGGCUAACUCCGUGCCAGCAGCCGCGGUAAUACGGAGGGCGCAAGCGUUACUCGGAAUCACUGGGCGUAAAGAGCGUGUAGGCGGAUUAAAAAGUCAGAAGUGAAAUCCUAUAGCUUAACUAUAGAACUGCUUCUGAAACUCUUAAUCUAGAAUAUGGGAGAGGUAGAUGGAAUUUCUGGUGUAGGGGUAAAAUCCGUAGAGAUCAGAAGGAAUACCGAUUGCGAAGGCGAUCUACUAGAACAUUAUUGACGCUGAGACGCGAAAGCGUGGGGAGCAAACAGGAUUAGAUACCCCAGUAGUC
rnacentral:rRNA from 1 species